GACGAGCGCUGGCGGCGUGCUUAACACAUGCAAGUCGAACGGUGAAGGGACUGGUUUUGCUGGUCCUGGAUGAGUGGCGAACGGGUGAGUAACACGUGAGUAACCUGCCCCCUUCUUCUGGAUAACCGCAUGAAAGUGUGGCUAAUACGGGAUAUUCUGGGUCUGUCGCAUGGUGGGCCUGGGAAAGAUUGCGCCUUUUUUGUUGUUUUUGGUGGGGGAUGGGCUCGCGGCCUAUCAGCUUGUUGGUGGGGUGAUGGCCUACCAAGGCGGUGACGGGUAGCCGGCCUGAGAGGGUGGACGGUCACACUGGGACUGAGACACGGCCCAGACUCCUACGGGAGGCAGCAGUGGGGAAUAUUGCACAAUGGGCGAAAGCCUGAUGCAGCGACGCCGCGUGAGGGAUGGAGGCCUUCGGGUUGUGAACCUCUUUCGCCAGUGAAGCAGGCCUGCCUCUUUUUGUGGGUGGGUUGACGGUAGCUGGAUAAGAAGCGCCGGCUAACUACGUG
rnacentral:rRNA from 1 species